UACGUAGGGGGCUAGCGUUGUCCGGAAUCAUUGGGCGUAAAGCGCGUGUAGGCGGCCCGGUAAGUCCGCUGUGAAAGUCCAGGGCUCAACCCUGGGAUGCCGGUGGAUACUGUCGGGCUCGAGUCCGGAAGAGGCGAGUGGAAUUCCUGGUGUAGCGGUGAAAUGCGCAGAUAUCAGGAGGAACACCAGUGGCGAAGGCGGUGCUCUGGGCCGGAACUGACGCUGAGGAGCGAAAGCGUGGGGAGCAAACAGG
rnacentral:rRNA from 1 species